UCUUUUAUAUUUGAUGAUGUUAGUAUGAUGGAAGAUGCAAAUGUAUAAAUAAAGUUUAAAUGUAAUAUUGAGAGUUUAUGUUAUAUUUUGGAGGCUUGAUGUAUAAAGAGAAGAAAUGAUGAAAAGAAUGUAAAAGUUGAAUGCAUGUAUGUGGUUAAAAGUUAAUCAUAUUACUUGUAUAUUGUUUAGUUUAGAAUCU
rnacentral:lncRNA from 1 species